rnacentral:rRNA from 1 species
AACGAACGCUGGCGGCAGGCUUAACACAUGCAAGUCGAACGCCCCGCAAGGGGAGUGGCAGACGGGCGAGUAACGCGUGGGAACAUACCCUUUUCUACGGAAUAGCUCUGGGAAACUGGAAUUAAUACCGUAUACGCCCUACGGGGGAAAGAUUUAUCGGGGAAGGAUUGGCCCGCGUUGGAUUAGCUAGUUGGUGGGGUAAAGGCCUACCAAGGCGACGAUCCAUAGCUGGUCUGAGAGGAUGAUCAGCCACAUUGGGACUGAGACACGGCCCAAACUCCUACGGGAGGCAGCAGUGGGGAAUAUUGGACAAUGGGCGCAAGCCUGAUCCAGCCAUGCCGCGUGAGUGAUGAAGGCCUUAGGGUUGUAAAGCUCUUUCACCGAUGAAGAUAAUGACGGUAGUCGGAGAAGAAGCCCCGGCUAACUUCGUGCCAGCCGCCGCGGUAACAC